AAAAAAAUAAUUUGUUUAAUCAAAUUAAUUUCAGGCACAUCUGCUUUCAAUCUGGCAUGGAGUUUCCCCUCCGCGACAGUAGAACCUGGAAACAAACUAGACUAAUACAAUGUCUAAUCUUCACACUUUCAAGCCACAAUAGCAACAGACAUUUUCCCAGAACUUUUUUCGUUUAAAACUACCUUCUGCAAUCUGUCAUUCCAUGACGAUAGUUUAAGCAAGAUGAUGUAUUAAUAAUUUGUUUUCUGCUCUGUUCAUGAAUUAUUAAUGCGUUUUACAGAACCAUACAUAACAUACAUACAAUCUAUUAGUUAUCCCAGAGGACGG